AUACGUAGGGUGCGAGCGUUGUCCGGAAUUACUGGGCGUAAAGAGCUCGUAGGUGGUUUGUCGCGUCGUCUGUGAAAUUCCGGGGCUUAACUCCGGGCGUGCAGGCGAUACGGGCAUAACUUGAGUACUGUAGGGGAGACUGGAAUUCCUGGUGUAGCGGUGAAAUGCGCAGAUAUCAGGAGGAACACCGGUGGCGAAGGCGGGUCUCUGGGCAGUAACUGACGCUGAGGAGCGAAAGCAUAGGUAGCGAACAGGAUUAGAUACCCUGGUAGUCCAUGCCGUAAACGGUGGGCGCUAGGUGUAGGGGUCUUCCACGACUUCUGUGCCGUAGCUAACGCAUUAAGCGCCCCGCCUGGGGAGUACGGCCGCAAGGCUAAAACUCAAAGGAAUUGACGGGG
rnacentral:rRNA from 1 species